CUGGAUGAACGCUGGCGGCGUGCCUAAUACAUGCAAGUCGAACGAGUUCUGAUUAUUGAAAGGUGCUUGCAUCUUGAUUUAAUUUUGAACGAGUGGCGGACGGGUGAGUAACACGUGGGUAACCUGCCCUUAAGUGGGGGAUAACAUUUGGAAACAGAUGCUAAUACCGCAUAAAUCCAAAAACCGCAUGGUUCUUGGCUGAAAGAUGGCGUAAGCUAUCGCUUUUGGAUGGACCCGCGGCGUAUUAGCUAGUUGGUGAGGUAACGGCUCACCAAGGCAAUGAUACGUAGCCGAACUGAGAGGUUGAUCGGCCACAUUGGGACUGAGACACGGCCCAAACUCCUACGGGAGGCAGCAGUAGGGAAUCUUCCACAAUGGACGCAAGUCUGAUGGAGCAACGCCGCGUGAGUGAAGAAGGCUUUCGGGUCGUAAAACUCUGUUGUUGGAGAAGAAUGGUCGGCAGAGUAACUGUUGUCGGCGUGACGGUAUCCAACCAGAAAGCCACGGCUAACUACGUGCCAGCAGCCGCGGUAAUACGUAGGUGGCAAGCGUUAUCCGGAUUUAUUGGGCGUAAAGCGAGCGCAGGCGGUUUUUUAAGUCCGAUGUGAAAGCCCUCGGCUUAACCGAGGAAGUGCAUCGGAAACUGGGAAACUUGAGUGCAGAAGAGGACAGUGGAACUCCAUGUGUAGCGGUGAAAUGCGUAGAUAUAUGGAAGAACACCAGUGGCGAAGGCGGCUGUCUGGUCUGUAACUGACGCUGAGGCUCGAAAGCAUGGGUAGCGAACAGGAUUAGAUACCCUGGUAGUCCAUGCCGUAAACGAUGAAUGCUAGGUGUUGGAGGGUUUCCGCCCUUCAGUGCCGCAGCUAACGCAUUAAGCAUUCCGCCUGGGGAGUACGACCGCAAGGUUGAAACUCAAAGGAAUUGACGGGGGCCCGCACAAGCGGUGGAGCAUGUGGUUUAAUUCGAAGCAACGCGAAGAACCUUACCAGGUCUUGACAUCUUUUGAUCACCUGAGAGAUCAGGUUUCCCCUUCGGGGGCAAAAUGACAGGUGGUGCAUGGUUGUCGUCAGCUCGUGUCGUGAGAUGUUGGGUUAAGUCCCGCAACGAGCGCAACCCUUAUGACUAGUUGCCAGCAUUUAGUUGGGCACUCUAGUAAGACUGCCGGUGACAAACCGGAGGAAGGUGGGGAUGACGUCAAAUCAUCAUGCCCCUUAUGACCUGGGCUACACACGUGCUACAAUGGAUGGUACAACGAGUUGCGAGACCGCGAGGUCAAGCUAAUCUCUUAAAGCCAUUCUCAGUUCGGACUGUAGGCUGCAACUCGCCUACACGAAGUCGGAAUCGCUAGUAAUCGCGGAUCAGCACGCCGCGGUGAAUACGUUCCCGGGCCUUGUACACACCGCCCGUCACACCAUGAGAGUUUGUAACACCCGAAGCCGGUGGCGUAACCCUUUUAGGGAGCGAGCCGUCUAAGGUGGGACAAAUGA
rnacentral:rRNA from 1 species